rnacentral:rRNA from 1 species
AUUGAACGCUGGCGGCAUGCCUUACACAUGCAAGUCGAACGGCAGCGGGGACUUCGGUCCGCCGGCGAGUGGCGAACGGGUGAGUAAUGUAUCGGAACGUACCAUUCAGUGGGGGAUAACUAUCCGAAAGGAUAGCUAAUACCGCAUAUUCUGUGAGCAGGAAAGCAGGGGAUCGCAAGACCUUGCGCUGAUUGAGCGGCCGAUAUCAGAUUAGCUAGUUGGUGAGGUAAAGGCUCACCAAGGCGACGAUCUGUAGCGGGUCUGAGAGGAUGAUCCGCCACACUGGAACUGAGACACGGUCCAGACUCCUACGGGAGGCAGCAGUGGGGAAUUUUGGACAAUGGGGGCAACCCUGAUCCAGCCAUGCCGCGUGAGUGAAGAAGGCCUUCGGGUUGUAGAGCUCUUUCGGCCGGGAAAAAAUCGCAUGGGUUAAUACCCUGUGUGGAUGAUGGUACCGGAAUAAGAAGCACCGGCUAACUAUGUGCCAGCCGCCGCCGUAA